UAUACAGGCAAUGGCUAAACAGUGUGUGCUUCCCAGAAGCUUUAAAUACGGACUGCAUUUAAAAGUCCCAAUGUUCAUACAGAGGGGCUGUUCCCAGAAAAUGUAAUUUUAGUUGAAAUGGUGUUUACGCAGGUGUGAGAGCUGGACCUAUGGCUUCUCUCCAUAUCUCCUAAACAAGACUUCUCUUCUUUAACACUUUGGUAUUCUCAGGUUUGCUGUGAAGAAAACCAGCAGUUCAACUGGGCUAAAAGAACAACUUCAAGCAUUUCAUCUGGAUUGCCAGAGAGGGAAAAGAGAGGAGACAGAUGUGCACCACAAGCAAAACGUCACCUGGAAUUUUAUGGAGAAAUCCUGCACUGGGGAUUUGAAUGCAGCAUGCUUGCAUAUGAAAUGUCAGAAUUGCAAGGACAAGGACAGCAGUGAAAUUUAAAAGGUGACAGAUAAGACAGAUGGCUGAGCAGAAGUGGUCUGCAUUGCCAUGGAGAAAAGCCUGAUGCCAUCCUCAGCAAUCAGUGCUCAAGCUUGCAAGAGUCUGGCUGCUAUGGAAGCAUCCGAGCCAACCCUGGGUGUUGCAAUAUGCCAGUUUUCCCAGAAACAGAUUGAUGUACAAUGUGUACGAUUUUUUAUUUUCUUGAGGGAGGAGGGGAGAACUAUCUAUGGAUUUGGGGCUGUGAUUUGGCUUUGGAUUUUGUCUUAUCAAUGCAUUUAUUGACACCUCAGAAGAUUUCUUUGAAAUAGAGAUGAUAUUGUGCAUAUUAGCAUAUCCUUCUUGGAAAUUACUCCUGCUUUUUUCCCCACAGGGAAAGCAGAAAACCACUGUUUGUACAGAAUAUACUGAUUUCUACUCAC